rnacentral:misc_RNA from 1 species
UGUAUUUAUUAGAUAAAAAACCAAUGCCCUUCGGGGCUCCCUGGUGAUUCAUGAUAACUCAACGAAUCGCAUGGCCUUGCGCCGGCGAUGGUUCAUUCAAACUUCUGCCCUAUCAACUUUCGAUGUUAAGGUUUUGGCCUAACAUGGUGUCAACGGGUAACGGGGAAUAAGGGUUCGAUUCCGGAGAAGGAGCCUGAGAAACGGCUACUACAUCCAAGGAAGGCAGCAGGCGCGCAAAUUACCCAAUCCCGAUCCGGGGAGGUAGUGACAAUAAAUACUGAUACAGGGCUCUUAUGGGUCUUGUAAUUGGAAUGAGUACAAUUUAAAUCCCUUAACGAGGAACAAUUGGAGGGCAAGUCUGGUGGAUCGCAGUCAGAACACUGGCACCAGACAGCGGGGUCGCCGUCAGACCCCGAGUUGCCUCGCGGCAGCAAGGUACCUGGCUCGGGGAAGUCCAGCGUCGCACUGGCAAUCCCGCGGUGAGAGAGAGAGAGAGAUCAGAUCCUCCACUGUAAAGCGCGCAAAGGUGUCGGCCGUUUCCGGGCGAAACGGCACGUGGGACGUGCUAUCUUCAGCUCGAGAGAGCCUAAAUUCGGGGGGCCAGCAGCCGCGGUAAUUCCAGCUCCAAUAGCGUAUAUUAAAGUUGUUGCGGUUAAAAAGCUCGUAGUUGAACUUUGGGUCUGGCUGGCCGGUCCGCCUCACCGCGUGCACUGGUUCGGCCGGGCCUUUCCUCCUGGAGAACGGCAUGCCCUUCACUGGGUGUGUCCGGGAACCAGGACUUUUACUUUGAAAAAAUUAGAGUGUUCAAAGC